CCGAAAUUGAGGGAUCUUAAUAUAUCUUGCUAAGAGCACGAAAAGUUAUGUAACAAUAUAACACCUAAAUAUAUAUUAAGUGGCUACAUACCAUCGCACUCAAUUAUAUCUGGCUUGUUUUAUUUCCAUCUAGUGAUAGUAGCUAAAAGCUAACAUACUCUAUAAAGGACAAGCUUUAUAGAACAUUAUAUUUAAAAACAAUUAACAGAUAUUAGACUUUAUAAUGGUCAUCUAUUAUAUAAUAAUACUAAACCCUAAUAUUCUACAACAAAAAUAAUUAUUAAAACACAUUAUAACCAAUAACAUUAUUAAAGAUUAUGAUAAGAUAAUUAUACAACCUAAAAUAAAACGAACACCUCUAAACCACCCCAUAAAAAAUAAUAUGUUAAUAUAUAAAAUAAAGGAACUCGGCAAAUAAUAUUUAGGACUGUUUAACAAAAACAUUGUCUCCUGAACUCAUUAUAAGAGAUAAAUACUGCCCAGUGGCCAACCUUUAUAAACGGCCGCGGUACAUUGACCGUGCUAAGGUAGCAUAAUAAUUUGCCCUUUAAUUAAGGGAUCGUAUGAAUGAGUUAACACAAAAUAUACUGUCUCUAUUUUAACCCAAGAAAUUUAUAUCCAAGUGAAAAAGCUAGGAUUUCAUAAAAAGACAAGAAGACCCUAAAAGCUUAAUAACUAAACUUGUAAUUCAAGAAACGUUUUUCAGUUGGGAGGACUUCAAAUUUAUCAAACAUUUAGUAAUAUAAAGAAAAAUUCUACAACUUCAACCUAAAAUUGAAAAUAAGUAAGCUACUUUAGGGAUAACAGGCUAAUAUUCUUUAAGAGUACACAUUGACAAGAAUGUUUGGCACCUCGAUGUUGGCUUAGGAGCCCAUUUUUAUGCAGAAAUAAAAAUAGGGGGUUUGUUCAACCCUUAAAAUCCUACAUGAGCUGAGUUCAGACCGACGAAAGUCAGGUUAGUUUCUAUCUUUUUAUAAAAUUUAAUUAGUACGAAAGGACCAUUAAAU
rnacentral:rRNA from 1 species